GCUGGUAUAGUAUAGUGGCAGUACAUCACGUUGUGGCCGUGUCGACGCAGGUUCGAUUCCUGCUACCAGCA
rfam:Mucor circinelloides f. circinelloides 1006PhL unplaced genomic scaffold supercont1.264, whole genome shotgun sequence.